ensembl:lncRNA
UGAGGUCUGGUCAACAGGCGUUUGUUAUGCAUGCGUUUAUGUGGUCGUGUAGUACAUAAGGACCGCACAGGUGGCCCAUACAUCUGCCCGACUCACCACACUUGCUACACUACAUUUCGCUAUCAGUCAGUUGAAUGAUCCUUGUGGUGUGUGAACAUGUGUGUGUGUUGGUAUGUUGUCCUUGGCUGUGGACUACAAAGCUGAACUCUGGCAGACAUUGUCACAGCCGUUUACAGCCGAGCUUCCCUCUGCCGGGCACUACAGACUGGCGUGUAGCUCCUGGCUCUGCACAGCUGACAGUUCCUCCUAAGAGCCCCUGUCUAUCCAGGGUGUCCCACGUUACCUCUGUCACCGGUGCGAGUAAAGAUGUCUGUUUGGACCGGCUUCUGUCGGAGGGAGGAGGGAGGCUAUGCAGUGUCCAGGGGAACUGUGAACAAGUGAGCCUUGAGUCUCUUGCGGAAGCUGCACAGCUGGCUAAUGGAAGUCAGCCCCAACUGCCCACAGAUUCCUUGCAGAACAGAUACUAUGGUCUGUGCCCAAGGAAGGAGAGCCAUCCAGUCCAAGCCAAACAUCUGAUCAGAAGGCCCUCACCGGAGGGGGGGCCGCAGGCCGCAGGCCGCCAGCCCUGUUCCAUAUGGUCCCUGCUCCGCGAAGGGAUUAUAGUGGACAGACUCUGUCUCUCUCUAUCUAAUGAUAUUCCACUCUCUCUCCCGGCUUCCCGUCUGAAUCCCUUCCUGUUCCCUGUGCACCAGGGCUGCCAGGAUCCAUGGGUAGACAAACAAAGAGCAGGCCCUGGGUGGAAGCUCGUGGGGCGCUCCGCUCCCAUUCAUGAGUGCGGCCGAACAGGGAAGGGAUGUUUUGAUUCAGG